rnacentral:lncRNA from 1 species
ACAUCACUGAGUUGUUGGAUCUUUCCAGAUCACCACACCACAUCACCCAGCCACUCUGCCCAAUGGGAGGGCAGACAGUGUUCCAGUGUAGGAGGAAGGGGUGUAAGGUGCGGGCAGUUUGUGAGGAGGGCACCAACGAGAGCUACUGUGAGAAAGUCUGCAUGGUCAAAAAGUGGAUUACCAAGAACAAAGCAUCAUAAUGUUGUCCAG